rnacentral:rRNA from 1 species
UACGAAGGGAGCUAGCGUUGUUCGGAAUUACUGGGCGUAAAGGGCGCGUAGGCGGUUUCGAUAGUCGGGCGUGAAAUCCCCAGGCUCAACUUGGGAAUUGCGUUCGAUACUGCGAGACUUGAGUGAGGGGGAGGAUCGCGGAAUUCCCGGUGUAGAGGUGAAAUUCGUAGAUAUCAGGAGGAACACCGGUGGCGAAGGCGGCUCUCUGGACCACAACUGACGCUGAGGCGCGAAAGCUAGGGGAGCAAAC